rnacentral:rRNA from 1 species
UGGGGAAUAUUGCACAAUGGGCGCAAGCCUGAUGCAGCCAUGCCGCGUGUGUGAAGAAGGCCUUCGGGUUGUAAAGCACUUUCAGCGGGGAGGAAGGCGUUAAGGUUAAUAACCUUGGCGAUUGACGUUACCCGCAGAAGAAGCACCGGCUAACUCCGUGCCAGCAGCUGCUGUAAUACGGAGGGUGCAAGCGUUAAUCGGAAUUACUGGGCGUAAAGCGCACGCAUGCGUUCUGUCAAGUCGGAUGUGAAAUCCCCGGGCUCAACCUGUGAACUGCAUUCCAAACUGGCAGGAUAGAUUCUUGUAGAGGUGGAUAGAAUUCCAGGUGUAGAGGUGAAAUGCGUAGAGAUCUGGAGGAAUACCGGUGGCGAAGGCGGCCCCCUGGACAAAGACUGACGCUCAGGUGCGAAAGCGUGGGGAGCAAACAGG